UAUAUACUUCCUCCGUUCGAAAUUACUUGUCUUGGAAAUGGUUGUAUCUAAAACUAAAAUACGUCUAGAUACAUUCAUUUCUACGACAAGUAAUUCCGAACGAAGGGAGUACAUC
rfam:Triticum urartu cultivar G1812 contig883309, whole genome shotgun sequence.